rnacentral:rRNA from 1 species
GACGAACGCUGGCGGCGUGCCUAAUACAUGCAAGUCGAACGCAGUGGGGACGGGUGAGUAACACGUGGGUAACCUCCCAUCAGAGGGGAUAACACUUGGAAACAGGUGCUAAACCGAUACUGAUGGAUGGACCCGCGGUGCAUUAGCUAGUGGGGGAGGUAACGGCUCACCAAGGCCACGAUGCAUAGCCGACCGAGGAGGGUGAUAGGCCACACUGGGACUGGGACACGGCCCAAACCCCUACGGGAGGAAGAAGUGGGGAAUCUUCGGAAAGGGACGAAAGUCUGACCGAGCAACGCCGCGGGAGUGAAGAGGGUUUUCGGAUCGUAAAACUCUGUUGUUGGAGAAGCGGUAUCUAACCAGAAAGCCACGGCUAACUACGUGCCAGCAGCCGCGGUAAUU